rnacentral:rRNA from 1 species
ACGUAGGCAAAUCCGCCGGGCUGAGAUGAGGCGUGAUGACGAGGCUCUUCGGAGCCGAAGCGAGUGAUACCCAGCUUCCAGGAAAAGCCUCUAAGCUUCAGUCUAAGAGUGACCGUACCGCAAACCGACACAGGUGGGCUGGUAGAGAAUACCAAGGCGCUUGAGAGAACUCAGGAGAAGGAACUCGGCAAAUUGAUACCGUAACUUCGGAGAAGGUAUGCCCCUGGUACGUGAAGGCCCUCGCGGCCGGAGCGGAACGGGGUCGCAGAGAAUCGGUGGCUGCGACUGUUUAUUAAAAACACAGCACUCUGCAAACACGAAAGUGGACGUAUAGGGUGUGACGCCUGCCCGGUGCCGGAAGGUUAAGUGAUGGGGUGCAAGCUCUUGAUCGAAGCCCCGGUAAACGGCGGCCGUAACUAUAACGGUCCUAAGGUAGCGAAAUUCCUUGUCGGGUAAGUUCCGACCUGCACGAAUGGCGUAACGAUGGCCACACUGUCUCCUCCUGAGACUCAGCGAAGUUGAAAUGUUUGUGAAGAUGCAAUCUCCCCGCGGCUAGACGGAAAGACCCCAUGAACCUUUACUGUAGCUUUGCAUUGGACUUUGACGGGACUUGUGUAGGAUAGGUGGGAGGCUAUGAAACCGGGACGCCAGUUCCGGCGGAGCCAUCCUUGAAAUACCACCCUGGUGUCGUCGAGGUUCUAACCCAGGCCUGUGAAUCCAGGUCGGGGACCGUGCAUGGUGGGCAGUUUGACUGGGGCGGUCUCCUCCCAAAAGGUAACGGAGGAGUACGAAGGUCACCUAGGUACGGUCGGACAUCGUACUGAUAGUGCAAUGGCAAAAGGUGGCUUGACUGCGAGACCCACACGUCGAGCAGGUGCGAAAGCAGGUCAUAGUGAUCCGGUGGUUCUGUAUGGAAGGGCCAUCGCUCGACGGAUAAAAGGUACUCUGGGGAUAACAGGCUGAUUCCGCCCAAGAGUUCACAUCGACGGCGGAGUUUGGCACCUCGAUGUCGGCUCAUCACAUCCUGGGGCUGUAGCCGGUCCCAAGGGUAUGGCUGUUCGCCAUUUAAAGUGGUACGUGAGCUGGGUUUAAAACGUCGUGAGACAGUUUGGUCCCUAUCUGCCGUGGGCGCUGGAAGUUUGAGAGGGCCUGCUCCUAGUACGAGAGGACCGGAGUGGACGCACCCCUGGUGUACCGGUUGUGACGCCAGUCGCAUCGCCGGGUAGCUAUGUGCGGAAGAGAUAACCGCUGAAAGCAUCUAAGCGGGAAACUCGCCUCAAGAUGAGACUUCCCCGGGGCCUCGAGCCCCCUGAAGGGUUGUUGAAGACCACAACGUUGAUAGGCCGGGUGUGUAAGCGUGGCAACACGUUCAGCUAACCGGUACUAAUUGCCCGUGUGGCUUGAUCCU